GACUUAGAAAUUUAGUUAGUUAAUUGUUUAUUUGUGAUUCAAUGGUUGUUAAGGUUGUAUGACAAUGUGAUUAGGAAGGUGUUGAUGUUUGAUUAUGAGUCAACGAUUGUUAAACAUGUGUGAUAAGGUGAUUAGGUUAUGUGCUGACUGCAAUAGGCAGUGUUAUGUAUUACGUUAUGAUGUACUAAUCAGUAAAAUGAUCUGAUUAAUGUUAGGUGAUUUCAUAAAAGAUAAAACUAAGUU
rnacentral:lncRNA from 1 species